rnacentral:rRNA from 1 species
UUUCACAGAGGGAUAGCCCAGAGAAAUUUGGAUUAAUACCUCAUGGUAUUAUAGAGUGGCAUCACUUUAUAAUUAAAGUCACAACGGUGAAAGAUGAGCAUGCGUCCCAUUAGCUAGAUGGUAAGGUAACGGCUUACCAUGGCUACGAUGGGUAGGGGUCCUGAGAGGGAGAUCCCCCACACUGGUACUGAGACACGGACCAGACUCCUACGGGAGGCAGCAGUGAGGAAUAUUGGUCAAUGGGCGCAAGCCUGAACCAGCCAUGCCGCGUGCAGGAUGACGGUCCUAUGGAUUGUAAACUGCUUUUGUACGAGAAGAAACAACAUUACGUGUAAUGUCUUGACGGUAUCGUAAGAAUAAGGAUCGGCUAACUCCGUGCCAGCAGCCGCGGUAAUACGGAGGAUCCGAGCGUUAUCCGGAAUCAUUGGGUUUAAAGGG